rnacentral:tRNA from 1 species
AUGGGUGUAGUGUUAACGGCAACACGGGUGAUUCCAAACCACCAACUCUCAGUUCGAAUCUGAGCACCUAUGCCA